rnacentral:rRNA from 1 species
UACGUAGGAGGCGAGCGUUGUCCGGAAUCACUGGGUGUAAAGCGCGUGUAGGCGGCCUGCCAAGUCUGCUGUGAAAGCGCCUGGCUUAACCGGGCGAGGUCGGUGGAAACUGGCGGGCUGGAGGACGGUAGAGGGGGGUGGAAUUCCCGGUGUCAGUGGUGAAAUGCGUAGAGAUCGGGAGGAACACCAGUGGCGAAGGCGGCCCCCUGGGCCGUUCCUGACGCUGAGACGC